AAAACAUCAGUCACGUUAUAGUGUCACUAUGUUCCGCGAAAGUGUCAGUCAGCACGCUUUGUGUUAAAUGUAGGUACUGCGCUGGGGCCCUUUGCUCAUUCAGAACCAUCCAUAUAUACACACUCUUCCCAUCACUAUUCAGAGAACCGCUGUGAAAUACCUAGGGCCAUUAAGUAGCAGCCGCGAAUCUUUUUUCUGUCGCACCUGGACUUUAUUUUCCUGCCUUCUCAUAAACAGCGAGGACGAUUAGAGAUUUUCUGCUAAUCAUCUGGACUAAGAAUGAUGAACUCGGCAUUCUCAGCACAGAUUUCUUGGAUACUUGUUGUGCUCCUU